rnacentral:rRNA from 1 species
CACGGCGCACGGGUGCGUAACACGUGGGCAAUCUGCCCUCCGGUGGGGAAUAACCCCGCGAAAGCGGGGCUAAUUCCGCAUAACAUUCCCUGGACUCUGGUUCGGGGAUUCAAAGCAGCAAUGCGCCGGAGGAGGAGCCCGCGCCCGAUUAGCUAGUUGGUGAGGUGACGGCUCACCAAGGCAAUGAUCGGUAGCUGGUCUGAGAGGAUGGCCAGCCACACUGGAACUGAGACACGGUCCAGACUCCUACGGGAGGCAGCAGUGGGGAAUCUUGCGCAAUGGGCGAAAGCCUGACGCAGCGACGCCGCGUGGGGGAUGAAGCUUCUCGGAGUGUAAACCCCUUUCGACCGGGACGAAUGCCCGCAAGGGAGUGACGGUACCGGUAGAAGAAGCCCCGGCUAACUACGUGCCAGCAGCCGCGGUAAGACGUAGGGGGCCAGCGUUGUUCGGAAUUACUGGGUGUAAAGGGUUCGUAGGCGGUGUGGCAAGUCGGGAGUGAAAUUUCUGGGCUUAACUCAGAACCUGCUUCCGAAACUGCUGUGCUCGAGUGUGGGAGAGGCGCGUGGAAUUGCAGGUGUAGCGGUGAAAUGCGUAGAUAUCUGCAGGAACACCCGUGGCGAAAGCGGCGCGCUGGACCACUACUGACGCUGAGGAACGAAAGCUAGGGGAGCAAACAGGAUUAGAUACCCUGGUAGUCCUAGCCCUAAACGAUCAGGACUUGGGGUGCCACCCGUUCGGGUGUCGUCCCGGAGCUAACGCGUUAAGUCCUGCACCUGGGGAGUACGGUCGCAAGACUGAAACUCAAAGGAAUUGACGGGGGCCCGCACAAGCGGUGGAACAUGUGGUUCAAUUCGA